rnacentral:piRNA from 1 species
UAGAGAGGAAAUAACACAGCUAGCAAGU